rnacentral:rRNA from 1 species
UUGAACGCUGGCGGAAUGCUUUACACAUGCAAGUCGAACGGCAGCACGGGAGCUUGCUCCUGGUGGCGAGUGGCGAACGGGUGAGUAAUGCGUCGGAACGUACCGAGUAAUGGGGGAUAACGCAGCGAAAGCUGUGCUAAUACCGCAUACGCCCUGAGGGGGAAAGUGGGGGAUCGCAAGACCUCACGUUAUUCGAGCGGCCGACGUCUGAUUAGCUAGUUGGUGGGGUAAAGGCCUACCAAGGCGACGAUCAGUACCGGGUCUGAGAGGAUGAUCCGCCACACUGGAACUGAGACACGGUCCAGACUCCUACGGGAGGCAGCAGUGGGGAAUUUUGGACAAUGGGGGCAACCCUGAUCCAGCCAUUCCGCGUGAGUGAAGAAGGCCUUCGGGUUGUAAAGCU